rnacentral:lncRNA from 1 species
AAUGCUUAAUUCCUAGGAAUUAUCACCUGUCCCGGGGCAAGGAGGCCACGCUCAGAAUCCCUGGGUGCUCCCCGCCUGCGCAUGUGCCACUGCUCCAUGCAGGGUUGCAGGAUGUUAAGUAUUUGAUGGGAUGCUCUGAAUUUCUUUUUUUUUAAGAUUUUAUUUAUUCAUGAGAGACACAGGGAGAGAGAGAGGCAGAGACACAGGCAGAGGGAGAAGCAGGCUCCACAUAGGGAGCCCGAUGUGGGACUUGAUCCCAGGACUCCAGGAUAACACCGUGGGCCGAAGGCAGACGCUCAACCUCUGAGCCACCCAGGGGUCCCAAUGCUCUGAAUUUUUAAUUGCAAAUUUUCAUUCAACGUUCUCUUUAGGAAGCACUGUCUGCUCCUGUCCCACUUCGGCUCGACCUCCCAGACUGGAGCCACUGGGUGCAGGAUUUCCCUUUAACUCCGAAUGAAUGUCAGGAGGGACGGUGGUGGCACCCAGCCCCAGCAUGGAGGGGGCGGGAGUGAGCGCCCGGGGGUGCAGGGCUCUCUGGGGACCAGCUCGGAGUCCCAGCUUGCCCUCUGAGCCGGCAGAGCAAAGUCACUGAGGGCAACAAAAAGCACCAUCUGGAACCUCAAAGACGCAUUCUUUGUCCCGAGGUGUGGCGGACACAGCCUUUCUCUGAUGACCGGGGGUCUCUGGGAGACUCCGCGGGGCUGGGCCCUGCGGCCCUGGACAUGUGACUUUGGAGAACCGAGUUCUGGGCUCUCAGUUCCAGUUCCUUGCUGGGACCGGCUCAGGCAAUUCCCCGGAGGCCCGUCCACUUAGAGGAAGAGAGAGCAGCCAGCCUGCUGCCCGUGGGAAGGCCCGGGGGUAGUGAAAUCGUCUGCAGAUGACACGGUGACGCGCUGCAUCCACAGUGAGGCCUGGGCUUUCCCGCCGAUCCAGAGGCCACCCCGGGGGUGGGGGGCGACUGCUUCCCACCUGCACUUCUCCUUUUUUGGAGCAGACCUCAAAUCACCCUCUAAGAGGAGUCUAAAGAGCAGAGAUGGAGGGAGUCUGGGUCUGACAAGAUCCCGGGAAGACAAGAUGGGCUGUUCUGAAAUUUCGCCAAGGGAAGUGAGAGGGAACCCUUGCAGUCAGGUAGCUCUGGAU